UCAGGAUGAACGCUAGCGGCAGGCCUAAUACAUGCAAGUCGAACGGUUUCCAGCAAUGGAGAUAGUGGCGCACGGGUGCGUAACGCGUAACCAACCUACCCGAAUCUGGGGGAUAGCCCGCCGAAAGGCGGAUUAAUACCGCAUAAGACUAUGAGCCGGCAUCGGAUGGUAGUUAAAGAUUUAUUGGAUUCGGAUGGGGUUGCGUGCCAUUAGCUAGUUGGGGGGGUAACGGCCCACCAAGGCGACGAUGGCUAGGGGAGCUGAGAGGCUGGUCCCCCACACGGGCACUGAGAUACGGGCCCGACUCCUACGGGAGGCAGCAGUAGGGAAUAUUGGGCAAUGGAGGAGACUCUGACCCAGCCAUGCCGCGUGCCGGAUGAAGGCCUUCUGGGUCGUAAACGGCUUUUUUCCGGGAAGAACCGGUUCCUUGCGAGGGGCUCUGAC
rnacentral:rRNA from 1 species